rnacentral:rRNA from 1 species
CAGUCGCCGCGGUAAUACGGAGGGCGCGAGCGUUACCCGGAUUUACUGGGCGUAAAGGGCGUGUAGGCGGCCUGGGGCGUCCCAUGUGAAAGGCACGGCUCAACCGUGGAGGAGCGUGGGAUACGCUCAGGCUAGAGGGUGGGAGAGGGUGGUGGAAUUCCCGGAGUAGCGGUGAAAUGCGCAGAUACCGGGAGGAACGCCGAUGGCGAAGGCAGCCACCUGGUCCACUUCUGACGCUGAGGCGCGAAAGCGUGGGGAGCAAACCGGAUUAGAUACCCCGGUAGUCCCUGUCUCUUAUACA